rnacentral:sRNA from 1 species
UCCUAGCCCCGAUUGAAGCGGCAUCCUUUUGUAAUGGUCGCUGAGCGGAGUCGAAGCGAUCAUUACAAAAGAUAUAGCGGAAAGCGGGCGAGGAU